rnacentral:rRNA from 1 species
GUGAGGAAUAUUGCGCAAUGGAGGCAACUCUGACGCAGCCAUGCCGCGUGCAGGAAGAAGGCGCUACGCGUUGUAAACUGCUUUUAACCGGGAAGAAACCCCAGGACGUGUCCUGGGUUGACGGUACCGGAGGAAUAAGCACCGGCUAACUUCGUGCCAGCAGCCGCGGCAAUACGAAGGGUGCAAGCGUUAUCCGGAUCCAUUGGGUUUAAAGGGUGCGUAGGCGGAGCGUUAAGUCAGUGGUGAAAUCCUGCAGCUUAACUGUAGACUUGCCAUUGAUACUGGCGCUCUUGAGUGCGCUUGAAGUGGGCGGAAUGUGCCGUGUAGCGGUGAAAUGCUUAGAUAUGGCACAGAACACCAAUUGCGAAGGCAGCUCACUAAGGCGAUACUGACGCUGAGGCACGAAAGCGUGGGGAUCGAACAGGAUUAGAAACCCCGGUAGUCC